rnacentral:rRNA from 1 species
CAUUGGGUUGGUUCACUAAAUUCUGGGGGACAUUGAAAAUUAUUAUAAAUUGAAUAUAUCAAGUCCGUACCAAGAUCCGACACUGGUGUCUUUAGGUUAGAAGCCUAAGGUGUAUGGAGUACAAAGUAGGCGAGGGAAUUCGGCAAAUUAGUCCUGUAACUUCGGAAGAAAGGAUACCUGCUUUUUUUAUGAGGAAUAGGGAUAGCAGGUCGCAGUGACAAGGGGGUCCCGACUGUUUAAUAAAAACACAGGAGACUGCUAGUCCGCAAGGAUGUGUAUAGUCUUUGAAACUUGGUCAGUGGCGGUACCUAAAACUCAAGUUCAAUUGAGCUAAGGGCCGCUUAACACCGGGAGUAACUCUGACUCUCUUAAGGUAGCCAAAUGCCUUGUCGGGUAAGUUCCGACGCGCAUGAAUAGUUCAACGAGGGCCCUACUGUCCCCGUCUGCAACUCCGUGAACCCACAUUAGGUGGACGAACAGUCCAUCGACUUCCAUCGGGAAGAGAAGUCCCUGUGGAGCUUUACUGCAGCUUGUUGUUGUGAUGCGGUUCUAAUUUCAGAGAGUAACCGGGAGCCGUUAUGCACAUACUUUUGGGUAUGUGAUAGGCAAAAGUGUAACACCGGUAUCUUAGAGUUACGUCACUAACCUCAUUUUGAGGGACAUCGGCAGGUGGGCAGUUCGGCUGGGGCGGCACCCCUUUGAAAAGAUAUCGAAGGGGCUCUAAGGUUGGCUCAGGUGGGUCAGAAAUCCACUUUUGAGGGCAAGGCCAAAAGCCAGCCUGACAGGAUUCUGAACAAUAAAGAAUUCUGCUGCGAAAGCAUGACCUAGCGAUCCUUCAAGUCCCCACUGUUGGGGGCUGGAGGUGACAGAAAAGUUACCCCAGGGGUAACAGGCUCGUCGCGGGUGAGAGCUCCAAUCGACCCCGCGGUUUGGUACCUCGAUGUCGGCUCUUCCCAUCCUGGUUCUGCAGCAGGAGCCAAGGGUGGGGCUGCUCGCCCAUUAAAGGGGAACGUGAGCUGGGUUUAGACCGUCGUGAGACAGGUCGGUC